rnacentral:lncRNA from 1 species
UCAAAUUUAUUUCUAACCUUACUUCUUCCCUCGAUUUGGGUUUUCUACUUCUUCUUCUUUUUAUUAUUCUGUUUUGGUGAGUUUUCUACUUCUUUUUAUUGAGUUUCCAGUUCCUCGAUUUGGUUUCCAGUUCCUCCGUUGUCUUCGUUCUUCAGGUUUUGAGUUCUGGUUUCCGACAUCAUGUUUGGUAGUUGUAUGUUCUGUGAGAUUUCCAUUUCGUACUGGCUAUUUGGUAAAAUGUAUCGUAUUCUUUUUAUUGGAUUUCUUCUUCUAUUCAUUCCUUCGUUUUUGGUUUACUUUUUCUCCAGUUUUUGGUUCUACUUGCUAUUCCUUCGUUUUCGGUUUACUCUUUCUAUAGUUUAUUCUUUUUUUUUAUUCGUCCGUUGUCUUUGUUCUCUAGUUUUUAAGUUCUGUUUCGUUGUCUAGUUUCUUCUUCUUUCGAUGGUUUAGUAAAAUAAUUAUCGUUGUCUAGUUUUCGGUAGGUUAUUCCGUUGUUUAUUGGGUGAUUUAUCGUUCUCCAGUUUUUUCCCUCUUUUUAAUGAAUUUCUAAAUUGUCUCCUUGUCCAGUGUUCUCCAUUUUGGGUCUGAUUAUUAUCAACGACGGUAUUUAUUAAUGAUUUACUAUUAAUGAUUAUCGAAAGGGAUUUACAUUUUGAAUAUUAAUGGUUUCUUCAACUUCUUAUUCCGUUGUCCAUUUUUGAUUAUUUAUCGACGACGGUAUUAUUCAAGUGAAAUAAUACGAGUUACUGUCUCGUCGAAAAUAAAUUGGUAGAUCAACUUGUCGAUCAACAAUGACUGAUUUCGUGAUGAAAAGAUUAUUGACGACGAAACAUGACGUUAAUAUAUGGUGAACAGAGACGAUGUGGCAUCGUGAGCUCCGUCAUCAGACCGACCGUCGCCUGUGAUUUGUGCAGAUAUUGUCGGGGGUAAUAAAGGAAGGAAUCACUGCACAAAUCGGAAUAAAGCGGAAGAAAUCGGCAUGAAAUCGGAUCAUUCAUGAAUAAGUGAUUUUUCAACGUAUUGUAGAAGGGUUGGUUCGGUUAAUUUGAACUGGUUUUGGUAACUUGAAACUUAUUGACAAUCGUUUUUUUAAGUUGAAUUAGUUUUUAAGGUUGAAAAGUUUUGUUAAGUUGAAAUAGUCGUGAUAAUAAUAGUAUUGAUUUAUUGAUUUACUAG